CGAGAGGACCGGAGUGGACGCAUCACUGGUGUUCGGGUUGUCAUGCCAAUGGCACUGCCCGGUAGCUAAAUGCGGAAGAGAUAAGUGCUGAAAGCAUCUAAGCACGAAACUUGCCCCGAGAUGAGUUCUCCCUGACCUUUUAAGGGUCCUGAAGGAACGUUGAAGACGACGACGUUGAUAGGCCGGGUGUGUAAGCGCAGCGAUGCGUUGAGCUAACCGGUACUAAUGAACCGUGAGGCUUAACCUU
rnacentral:rRNA from 1 species